rnacentral:lncRNA from 1 species
CCUUCUCUAGGAGAGAGGUCAUAAAAAAAUUUACCUUCUUCUACCAACCUGUUCUUCAUGUUACAGACUCCAUUGAGAACCUCUCCUUUCACCCAUCAAGAGGCUCUACAAACAGACUUAUUUUUAUUGAACUCUGGGAUUCAGGGGACCCCAGAAACAAAUGAACUCCAAAGGCCAGUAUCUGCAGAGCUGAUGGCACUGGAAGCCUAUUGAACCAUCCUGAAUCCUCUAUAAAGGAGGUCAGGUCAGCAAAGUUAUAGGAAUGGAAAAGUGAUUCCUUCUAAGUAGGAACUACAGGAAAUGGUCCUCCAAAAGUAGCCCUGGUUCUAGAAAGGAAAUAUGGGAUAUAGCGGGGUGGGGAUGGGAUAAAAUGCUCUGGGAGAAGAUGGACUACAAUAGGAUGGUGUAGAAUAGGUUGAGGUGGCUUCAGACAUAGUCACAACAUUUCUAUCUUAGGGACAGAGGAUAAAUCUGUGAUUCCAUCAAAGAAGAGAGCUCCCAGAGAGGAUCUUCUUCUACCAGUUCAGGGUCCACUUCAGUGAUCUCCUGAUCCAAAGCAGAGACCUCAGGGAUAUAGUUACACCUUCUUUCUCUUUCUUCUUCCUGCAAUUUGAUGGAGAUAACUCUCACAAGGCCUCCCUGGAUCGGCUUCAUCAGAUGAAUAAUAUAUUCUGCAAUCUUGUUGCAAAGCUUCUUGCAGAGGAUGAUGGUGAUCUUCCUGCACACAGUUGUUGCCCAGCUAAGACAAGAAUGGGCACUCGCUGGAAUUCCCAGAAGCAAUACGCACAGCAGGCAGUGCAGGGACCUGUCACUGAGGAAAAGAGCAAAGAAAUGGAAACAAAAGAGAUGCCCAUCGGUUAGAUGAAACAAAUUGUGGUACUUGAAUGUGAAGGAUAUUGCUAGGCCAUAAAGGAUGAUGAAUAUGAAGAAUUCAGAAAUUCAUGGGAAGACAAAUCAACUGGUGCAUAAUGAAGAAAGUGGAACCAGAAAAUAACACAUAUCAGGACUACAACCAUGUAAAUGGAAAGAGCUAUGAUAUCAGUAAAAACAACAAAACCAAAUUGAAUAUUGGAUAGAUAUAAUGACCAAAUUUGGCCCCAAAGAAGAGAGGAAAAAUGCACUUCCCUCCCUUUUUUGUUGAGGUGGAUAUGGAAUGUCAAAUAUAUACUUCUUGUUUGUUUUGUUCAACUUUUCCCCCUUUUUAUUCUUUAUUUAAACAUUUUUUUAAACUAAUGCAUUGGAUGAGGGAGGGCAGGUGUAUUCAGAAAUUAAGAUACUGUAGAAACAAAAGAUAUUAAUAAAAAAAUUUUUCCAUUCUGCUAGGUAAUAGUC